AACAAAUUCAAUGUCUGGGGAGAGUCUAUUUCCUGAUACCUAGACAGUGGCUUCUCUCUGUCUUUUCACAUGGUAGAAGGGGCAAGGCAGCUCUCUGGGGCCUCUUUUUUAAGGGCAUUGUUCCCAAGCCCUUAUGAUCUAAUCACCCCCACAAAGCCCCAGUUCCUAACACCAUCACAUUGGUAGUUAGGUUUCAACCUAUGAAUUUGGAGGGGACACAAACAUUCUGACCAUCGCCCAUGGCAAGUGGUGUCUAUAUUUUGUCCCCUUAAACUGGGCAGGCUUCUGACUGUGUUAGAAGAAACUCUGUGGAUUUCUGAAGCUGUUUUAUAAAAGGCCAUGUAGACGUGAUUCUCAGGACAGCUUCUGAGAUUCCUAAGCCACCAUUUGAACAAUUCAGCUGCCUUGAGGCCACCAUGUUGUGAGGAAGCCCAGUUUAGUCCAUGUGGAAAGAGAACAUGGAAAGGUCCUGACACUACUUAGAGAGGGGGAGAGAGAGAGAGAGACAGAGACAGAGACAGAGAAAGCGAGAUAAGACUUAUCUGUUAUUGUGAGAAUAAAGGGCAGGCUUGAAGUUCAGCUGGGAGGCAGUCUCUUCGUGGCCUGUGCUGAGGACUACAUCAGUCUCCUGCAAUUAUCAUCUACACUGAAAAACAAAGAGGACAGAGGCGAAGCUAGUGGCCCUCACCAUCCCCUGCAAGCUGAUUGCUUCUUACUGCAAGCACUUGAGCAUCUUCCUGAGAGCUUUCUUGGGCAAUGGGAACCAGGCUUGGCCCAAUCACAGGCAGGUGAAGUAUGAGGAAAUGGAGAAGGCAUUGUCCAAGGAGCAGUCUUCAACCUUCACCCCGCAAGUGAGACAACUCUGAAUAAGAUGUGUUCUACACUCUCUUCCAAAGGUCCCCAGUUGGAUGGAGCUCUAGCUGCUCAUGUGAUAAGCUGCCUAUUAAUACACAAAAGAUUGCCUUUCCUCCUUGCUCUGUCUUCCUGCUGCUCUCCUACUAAUGUUUCCUGGGAUUGCCUCCAAAUAAACCACUUGAACUCACA
rnacentral:lncRNA from 1 species